AUGGCUGAUCGUUCCGUGCCGCAGAAGCAACAGGGACACACUCAGUCCUACUCCAUCGAUCCACACUGGUACAUGGACUCUGGGGCGACAGAGCAUCUGACCAGCGAGAUGGGGAAGCUUCACACUCGUGAACCCUAUCAUGGCUCCGACAAGAUCCACACCGCCAAUGGAGCAGGUAUGCACAUCUCUCAUAUUGGUCAAGCAUCUCUUCUCACUAGACAUGCCAAUAGGAGUCUUCAGCUUCGCAAUGUUCUUCGAGUUCCAUCUGUGACCCGUAAUCUUCUUUCAGUUCCUAAACUCACACGUGAUAAUAAUGUGCUUUGUGAAUUUCACCCUUUUGAUCUUUUUAUUAAGGAUCGGGGCACGAGGGACAUUCUUCUUAGUGGGCGGUUGUGCCAGGGCCUCUACCGUCUGGAGCAUCCUGGCGUCGCCCGUGUUUUUAGUGGAGUUCGGGUCUCUCCGUCACAGUGGCAUGCUCGUCUUGGUCACCCGACCACACCUAUUGUCCGUCAUAUUUUGCGUCGUCAUGAGCUUCCUAGUUUGUCUAGUAAUAAAGAUGUAGCAGUGUGUGAUGCUUGUCAGCAGGGGAAGAGUCAUCAACUUCCUUUUUCGGAGUCCAGUCGUGAGGUGAAACAUCCUUUAGAACUUGUGUUUUCAGAUGUAUGGGGUCCUGCUCAGACUUCUGUCAGUGGUCAUAAUUACUAUAUCAGUUUCGUUGAUGCUUAUAGUCGCUUUACCUGGCUUUACCUUAUUAAACGCAAAUCUGAUGUGUUUGAUAUUUUUGUUCAGUUUCAGAAACAUGUUGAACGUCUUCUCAAGCACAAAAUUGUUCAUGUCCAGUCGGACUGGGGGGGCGAGUAUCGCAACCUCAACUCCUUCUUUCAGUCGCUUGGGAUAGCUCAUCGUUUAGCAUGUCCACAUACACAUCAGCAGAAUGGUUCAGUAGAACGUAAGCAUCGUCAUAUUGUUGAAGCUGGUCUUACUCUUUUGGCCCAUGCAUCUGUUCCGUUUCGGUUUUGGAGUGAUGCUUUCACCACUGCAUGCUUUCUCAUCAACCGUACUCCCACUCGUGUUUUAAACAUGAAGACUCCCAUUGAGGUUCUCCUUAAUGAACAACCUGAUUAUACCUUUUUCAAGGUAUUUGGGUGUGCUUGA
rnacentral:rRNA from 1 species